rnacentral:rRNA from 1 species
GACGAACGCUGGCGGCGUGCCUAAUACAUGCAAGUAGUACGCAUUUGCGUACGGGUGUGUAACGCGUAGCCAACUCCCUAUUAUUGGGCGAUAACUAUUGGAAACGAUAGCUAAUACCGCAUACUAGUCGAUGGACCUGCUUUGUCGUAGCUAGUAGGUCGGGUAAUGGCCUACCUAGUCAACGAUACAUAGUCGAGCUGAGAGGGUGAUCGGCCACACUGGGACGGAGAGACGGCACAGACUCCUACGGGAGGCAGCAGGAGGGAAUCUGCGGCAAUGGGGGUAACCCUGACCGAGCAACGCCGAGUGAGGGAGGAAGGUUUUCGGAUCGUAAAGCUCUGUUGUUAAGGAAGCGGUACUUAGCCAGAAAGGGACGGCUAACUACGUGCCAGCCGCCGCGGUAAUUC